CGGUAACAGGUCUUCGGAUGCUGACGAGUGGCGAACGGGUGAGUAAUACAUCGGAACGUGCCUGGUAGUGGGGGAUAACUACUCGAAAGAGUAGCUAAUACCGCAUGAGAUCUACGGAUGAAAGCAGGGGACCUUCGGGCCUUGUGCUACCAGAGCGGCUGAUGGCAGAUUAGGUAGUUGGUGGGGUAAAGGCUUACCAAGCCUGCGAUCUGUAGCUGGUCUGAGAGGACGACCAGCCACACUGGGACUGAGACACGGCCCAGACUCCUACGGGAGGCAGCAGUGGGGAAUUUUGGACAAUGGGCGAAAGCCUGAUCCAGCAAUGCCGCGUGCAGGAUGAAGGCCCUCGGGUUGUAAACUGCUUUUGUACGGAACGAAAAGCCUGGGGCUAAUAUCCCCAGGUCAUGACGGUACCGUAAGAAUAAGCACCGGCUAACUACGUGCCAGCAGCCGCGGUAAUACGUAGGGUGCAAGCGUUAAUCGGAAUUACUGGGCGUAAAGCGUGCGCAGGCGGUUUUGUAAGACAGUGGUGAAAUCCCCGGGCUCAACCUGGGAACUGCCAUUGUGACUGCAAGGCUAGAGUGCGGCAGAGGGGGAUGGAAUUCCGCGUGUAGCAGUGAAAUGCGUAGAUAUGCGGAGGAACACCGAUGGCGAAGGCAA
rnacentral:rRNA from 1 species